GUCACUUUUUACCUACAGGGAAGAAUAGAGAGAAGCUGGUCUUUGUCGACAGCCCUCAAAGUGUUGGGAGAGUGACAACUUCCAACGGGAAUUUUUGCUCUUUUGAAACAAGAGUAAAAGCUUUGACUUCAACACAAAGGUCCAAAUGGAGCUGCAAGUAUUUCUGAUGUCUGGAUUCACACAGUAAAAGGGUGUUUAUUGACUGAUGGAGCCAACUCAUGAUCUGACACUCUCCUUGGAGGCAAGCAAUGCACCGCAAAGACACAUCUCUCCAGAAAGGCACUGUUGCUGUGCACAAGUUACCAUGUGGCAGGAGUUCCUCCUGGACGGUUCUGCUGCGUGGGAGAGCCUUGGGCCAAGGCAAACACAGCACUAUGUACACGCACAAGGACACUGUGUGCUUUUCUUGAUUCCCAGGAAACCAGAUCUAAGUGAAGGAAGCUUGUCGAGGUUCCCAAGGAGAUACUGAAGAAGUCAGGAGACCGCACCACACAGGCAUCCAACGUUGGAGGACAAAGUAGCUGCUAGGACCUAUGGCUCAUCUAAUCGUUUGGACCAAGCUCACACUGGGAUAAGCUGUUUGCAGC